GACGAACGCUGGCGGCGUGCUUAACACAUGCAAGUCGAACGGAAAGGCCCUGCUUUUGUGGGGUGCUCGAGUGGCGAACGGGUGAGUAACACGUGAGUAACCUGCCCUUGACUUUGGGAUAACUUCAGGAAACUGGGGCUAAUACCGGAUAGGAGCUCCUGCUGCAUGGUGGGGGUUGGAAAGUUUCGGCGGUUGGGGAUGGACUCGCGGCUUAUCAGCUUGUUGGUGGGGUAGUGGCUUACCAAGGCUUUGACGGGUAGCCGGCCUGAGAGGGUGAUCGGCCACAUUGGGACUGAGAUACGGCCCAGACUCCUACGGGAGGCAGCAGUGGGGAAUAUUGCACAAUGGGCGGAAGCCUGAUGCAGCAACGCCGCGUGCGGGAUGACGGCCUUCGGGUUGUAAACCGCUUUCGCCUGUGACGAAGCGUGAGUGACGGUAAUGGGUAAAGAAGCACCAGCUAACUACGUG
rnacentral:rRNA from 1 species